UAUUGCACAAUGGGCGCAAGCCUGAUGCAGCCAUGCCGCGUGUGUGAAGAAGGCCUUCGGGUUGUAAAGCACUUUCAGUCAGGAGGAAAGGUUAGUAGUUAAUACCUGCUAGCUGUGACGUUACUGACAGAAGAAGCACCGGCUAACUCCGUGCCAGCAGCCGCGGUAAUACGGAGGGUGCGAGCGUUAAUCGGAAUUACUGGGCGUAAAGCGUACGCAGGCGGUUUGUUAAGCGAGAUGUGAAAGCCCCGGGCUCAACCUGGGAACUGCAUUUCGAACUGGCAAACUAGAGUGUGAUAGAGGGUGGUAGAAUUUCAGGUGUAGCGGUGAAAUGCGUAGAGAUCUGAAGGAAUACCGAUGGCGAAGGCAGCCACCUGGGUCAACACUGACGCUCAGACGGAG
rnacentral:rRNA from 1 species